ACACAUGCAAGUCGAGGGGCAGCAUCAUUAAAGCUUGCUUUGAUGGAUGGCGACCGGCGCACGGGUGAGUAACACGUAUCCAACCUGCCGACAACACUGGGAUAGCCUUUCGAAAGAAAGAUUAAUACCGGAUGGCAUAGUUUUCCCGCAUGGGAUAAUUAUUAAAGAAUUUCGGUUGUCGAUGGGGAUGCGUUCCAUUAGGCAGUUGGCGGGGUAACGGCCCACCAAACCAACGAUGGAUAGGGGUUCUGAGAGGAAGGUCCCCCACAUUGGAACUGAGACACGGUCCAAACUCCUACGGGAGGCAGCAGUGAGGAAUAUUGGUCAAUGGACGAGAGUCUGAACCAGCCAAGUAGCGUGAAGGAUGACUGCCCUAUGGGUUGUAAACUUCUUUUAUACGGGAAUAAAGUGAGCCACGUGUGGCUUUUUGUAUGUACCGUAUGAAUAAGGAUCGGCUAACUCCGUGCCAGCAGCCGCGGUAAUACGGAGGAUCCGAGCGUUAUCCGGAUUUAUUGGGUUUAAAGGGAGCGUAGGCGGGUUGUUAAGUCAGUUGUGAAAGUUUGCGGCUCAACCGUAAAAUUGCAGUUGAUACUGGCGACCUUGAGUGCAACAGAGGUAGGCGGAAUUCGUGGUGUAGCGGUGAAAUGCUUAGAUAUCACGAAGAACUCCGAUUGCGAAGGCAGCUUACUGGAUUGUAACUGACGCUGAUGCUCGAAAGUGUGGGUAUCAAACAGGAUUAGAUACCCUGGUAGUCCACACA
rnacentral:rRNA from 1 species